AUUGAACGCUGGCGGCAUGCCUUACACAUGCAAGUCGAACGGCAGCACGGGUGCUUGCACCUGGUGGCGAGUGGCGAACGGGUGAGUAAUACAUCGGAACGUACCUUAUCGUGGGGGAUAACGCAGCGAAAGCUGUGCUAAUACCGCAUACGCCCUGAGGGGGAAAGCGGGGGAUCGAAAGACCUCGCGCGAUUAGAGCGGCCGAUGCCUGAUUAGCUUGUUGGUGGGGUAAAAGCCAGCCAAGGCGACGAUCAGUAGCUGGUCUGAGAGGACGAUCAGCCACACUGGGACUGAGACACGGCCCAGACUCCUACGGGAGGCAGCAGUGGGGAAUUUUGGACAAUGGGGGCAACCCUGAUCCAGCAAUGCCGCGUGAGUGAAGAAGGCCUUCGGGUUGUAAAGCUCUUUUGUCAGGGAAGAAACACCGGCUCUAACACAGUCCGGGAAUGACGGUACCUGAAGAAUAAGCACCGGCUAACUACGUGCCAGCCGCCGCGGUAA
rnacentral:rRNA from 1 species